rnacentral:rRNA from 1 species
CAAUAGCGUAUAUUAAAGUUGCUGCAGUUAAAAAGCUCGUAGUUGGAUUUCUGGUAGGAGUGACCGUUCCGAACUUGAUUGUUCGUGUAUUGUGUUUUCUCCAGCCAUCCUUGUGGAGAACUUUUCUUGCAUUAAUUUGUAGGGAUUGGGACCCGCAUCGUUUACUGUGAAAAAAUUAGAGUGUUUAAAGCAGGCAAUCGCUUGAAUACAUUAGCAUGGAAUAAUAAGAUAGGACUUUGGUACUAUUUUGUUGGUUUGCAUACCAAAUUAAUGAUCAACAGGAACAGUUUGAGGAUAUUCGUAUGAACAUGUCAGAGGUGAAAUUCUUGGAUUUUGAUCAGACGAACUACUGCGAAAGCAUUUAUCAAGGAUGUUUUCAUUAA